rnacentral:misc_RNA from 1 species
GAAAUGCGAUACGUAUUGUGAAUUGCAGAUCAGUGAACCAUCGAAUCUUUGAACGCACCUUGCGGCUGCUGGCACUCCAGCAGCCACGCCCGUUCGAGCGUCACUUAAACCCUCGGGAUACCGCUCCCGGCCUUGGGCGUCCAGGCCUGCCCUGGUGCCCCCAACCGCAGCGGCGGAACCGUCCCGUGUGGCUCUGCGUAGUUGUUUGCUCUCGCAGCGGUCCCCGGGGCGCCUCCUGCCUAAGACAACGACCAAGUCUGACCUCGAGUCGGGUGGGAUUACCCGCUGAACUUAA